GACGAACGCUGGCGGCGUGCUUAACACAUGCAAGUCGAACGGAAAGGCCCUGCUUUUGUGGGGUGCGCGAGUGGCGAACGGGGGAGUAACACGUGAGUGACCUGCCCUUUACUUUGGGAUAACUUCAGUAAACUGGAGCUAAUACCGGAUAUGAGCUCCUGCUGCACGGUUGGGGUUGGAAAGUUUCGGCGGUUGGGGAUGGACUCGCGGCUUAUCAGCGUGUUGGUGGGGUAGUGGCUUACCAAGGCAUUGACGGGUAGCCGGACUGAGAGGGUGACAGGCCACAUUGGGACUGAGAUACGGGCCAGACUGCUACGGGAGGCAGCAGUGGGGAAUAUUGCACGAUGGGCGGCAGCCUGAUGCAGCAACGCCGGGUGCGGGAUGACGGCCGUCGGGUUGUAACCCGCGUUCGCCUGUGACGCAGAGUGAGUGACGGUAAUGGGUAAAGAAGCACCGGCUAACUACGUG
rnacentral:rRNA from 1 species